rnacentral:rRNA from 1 species
GUGGGGUGACUGCGUACCUUUUGUAUAAUGGGUCAGCGACUUAUAUUCUGUAGCAAGGUUAACCGUAUAGGGGAGCCGUAGGGAAACCGAGUCUUAACCGGGCGUUAAGUUGCAGGGUAUAGACCCGAAACCCGGUGAUCUAGCCAUGGGCAGGUUGAAGGUUGGGUAACACUAACUGGAGGACCGAACCGACUAAUGUUGAAAAAUUAGCGGAUGACCUGUGGCUGGGGGUGAAAGGCCAAUCAAACCGGGAGAUAGCUGGUUCUCCCCGAAAGCUAUUUAGGUAGCGCCUCGUGAACUCAUCUCCGGGGGUAGAGCACUGUUUCGGCUAGGGGGCCAUCCCGGCUUACCAACCCGAUGCAAACUGCGAAUACCGGAGAAUGUUAUCACGGGAGACACACGGCGGGUGCUAACGUCCGUCGUGAAGAGGGAAACAACCCAGACCGCCAGCUAAGGUCCCAAAGUCAUGGUUAAGUGGGAAACGAUGUGGGAAGGCCCAGACAGCCAGGAUGUUGGCUUAGAAGCAGCCAUCAUUUAAAGAAAGCGUAAUAGCUCACUGGUCGAGUCGGCCUGCGCGGAAGAUGUAACGGGGCUAAACCGAUGCACCGAAGCUGCGGCAGCGACACUGUGUGUUGUUGGG